AUUUCCCAAGAAUUUCAACUCGUCUUUGGUGGCAGAAAAUAGUCUAACAUCAUUGCAUAAAACAUGUCAAAAUUUCAAAAUGUCAACAGGAAGACCCAUCAAAUGUGUUGUCGUUGGCGAUGGUACUGUCGGCAAGACAUGCAUGUUAAUAUCAUAUACCACAGAUAGUUUUCCCGGUGAAUAUGUGCCUACAGUUUUCGAUAACUAUUCAGCACCCAUGCAAGUAGACACAAUACAAGUAUCACUGGGUCUAUGGGAUACAGCCGGACAAGAGGAUUAUGAUAGACUACGGCCACUUUCAUAUCCACAAACGGAUGUAUUUCUGAUAUGUUUUUCAGUGGCGAGUCCAUCAUCGUUUGAAAAUGUCACCUCAAAAUGGUAUCCCGAAAUAAAACAUCACUGCCCCGAUGCGCCCAUUAUAUUAGUUGGUACCAAAAUUGAUUUACGUGAAGAUCGUGAAACGCUUAGUGCUUUGUCUGAGCAGGGCUUAGCGCCUUUGAAACGUGAACAAGGACAAAAACUAGCAAAUAAAAUACGUGCUGUUAAAUAUAUGGAAUGUUCAGCUCUAACACAACGAGGCCUAAAACAGAAUUUUAUUUGUUAAACUUUAAAAUUGUCAGUUUAUGAGAUUUCAUGGAACAUAUAUUUUAACUAUUACAUCAUUUAUUAUUUGGAUAUUUGUAAUAGAGGUCAGAUCACAUGAAAUUGAAUACAUCAAAUAUUGGAUACAAUAUAAAUGUGGAAACAUACUUAUUUGAUGAAGGACGUUAAAAAUUACAUAAAUGCAGUUAAAUCAAAUGAAAAUAAUAUAUAUAAUUAAAAUUUUGUUACACAAAUUUCUUUAAUUCACAAUCGGUGUUGUACGGUUGUAUCGUAGUUUGUCGUAAUUUUUUAUUAUUAUUGAUUUUGGUUGCUUUAAAAUAAUUUAUUUCAAAAAAUUUUAUGACAUACAAUGCUACAACGAUACGUCAUCGAGUGUGAAUUAGACAAUUAUUUUAAAUUAAUGUAUCAAUAAAUGAAAUAAAUAAAAAUAAUUAUA
rnacentral:misc_RNA from 1 species